rnacentral:rRNA from 1 species
CCUACGGGGGGCAGCAGUGAGGAAUAUUGGUCAAUGGGCGAGAGCCUGAACCAGCCAAGUCGCGUGAGGGAGUACUGCCCUAUGGGUUGUAAACCUCUUUUGUCGGGGAGCAAAAGCCGGACGUGUCCGGCUGUGAGAGUACCCGAAGAAAAAGCAUCGGCUAACUCCGUGCCAGCAGCCGCGGUAAUACGUAGGGGGCAAGCGUUAUCCGGAUUUACUGGGUGUAAAGGGAGCGCAGACGGCUGUGCAAGUCUGGAGUGAAAGGCGGGGGCCCAACCCCCGGACUGCUCUGGAAACUGUAAAGG